GGGGGUUUAGCUCAGUUGGUAGAGCAUCUGAUUUGCAUUCAGAGGGUCAGGAGUUCGAAUCUCCUAGCCUCCA
rnacentral:tRNA from 1 species